CACUGGAUUAGGGGGUACAGCACUGAAAAAAGGUUGAGAACCCCUACCCUAGUGUUUACACUCACCUUUUAUUGAACUGAAAUCAAACUGUUUCCCGUAAAUCGUCUGCUGGUUUUUCCUAAGUCGUCCAAUCAGUGUGUCCUCCUGGACCUUUCUCACGUCCACCGUGUCGCCCUCCAGCUUGGCCCUCUGUCGCCUGCCCAGCCAGCCCACCGCCUUCAUGGCCAGGUAUUGGCCGAGCAGGCUGCUCGACGUCCGGCCAUGCCCCCUCACUUUAGAGUGGAGGUCCUUCCAGACCAGCGCCAUGCCCACCAGGGAGAAGACACCAACGGAGGUCAGCGCCAGUCGAGGCGGCAUAGCUGCGGGGUUACACAAGCCGGGUAAUGCCGACAAUUAGGGGAGAAGUGACCAGGUGGUGGCGCUGUUGGGACUAACCCUCGGUUUGAAUGAGGACGGCGACGAGAACCGACGUAACCACUAGAAAGAACAGCGCAGCAGCUCGAGAAGACGCCAGGGCCAUGUUGAAUGUGUGAAAACACCAAACGGUAGUCGUUUAAGGCAAAUAUUGAGUUAACUUAGGGCGCACUAAUGAGACAAAGAAGCUUCGAGCGAUGUCCUUUUGUUGCGCGCCAUGUCACUUCUGUUUGUGUCACGUGGCUGUUACGUCAUCAAAUACGGCCGCUUGCCUGCACCACGUGACCAAAACACGGAAGAGCAGGUUUCGGGCGACCUUACAGGCCUACUGAAAUGAGAUUUUCUUAUUUAAAUGGGGAUAGCAGGUUCAUUAUAUGUGUCAUACUUGAUUAAUUUGUGAUAUUGCCAUAUUUUUGCUGAAAGGAUUUAGUAGAGAUCAUCGACGAUAAAGUUCGCAACUUUUGGUCGCUAAUAAAAAAAGCCUUGCCUGUACCGGAAGUAGCAGACGAUGUGCGCGUGACGUCACGGGUUGUGGAGCUCCUCACAUCCUCACAUUGUUUACAAUCAUGGCCACCAGCAGCGCGUGUGAUUCGGACCCAGAAAGCGACGAUUUCCCCAUUAAUUUGAGCGAGGAUGAAAGAUUCGUGGAUGAGGAUAUUGAGAGUGAAGGACUAGAAGAAAAAAAAAACAGGGCAGUGGGAGCGAUUCAGAUGUUAUUAAGACACAUUUACUAGAAUUCUGGAAAAUCCCUUAUCUGCUUAUUGUGUUACUAGUGUUUUAGUGAGAUUAUAUCUCUAUCUCCUGAAAGUCGGAGGUAGAGAUGCGCAGUUUGCGGUCUCAUCCGCGGAUAAAACGCGGGUCGGGCGGGUGACAUGACGAAGAAAUAUAUUUUAAAUAGAUUCGGGCGGGUGGCGGUUGAACUAAUUCUGAAAUAUACAUAAAUGUUAUGUUGAAGAGGUUCAUUUAGCCUACUGACGUGUAUUUAUAAAUGGUUGAUUUAUACAGGCUAAUAAGUUAAAGUGUUGUACGUGACAACACUUGCCGGUACAAUCCAUAUAUCACAGACAACGUCACGCUAACAUCACGUGACACCUCUGAUGAAGGCUGCAGAAGCAAGGUAGCCGAAACUUGUCAGGUACAAUAAUUUACCUUACUAGCCUAAAUAUAUCAACCAUCUAUAAAUAGGUAAAUGUUGUUACCCACAGCCGAAAAACGAGCAGCACUCUUUGAAACAGUAUGUGGGCAUACUUUUAUUUUGAAGUGUCUCGUUUGUCGACGGAUGUAAGGAAGCUACUUCCGGGUAUGGCCAACGAGGUAUUUGUUUGUCAUUUGUUAGUAUUUUACUUGGUAAAAUAUUUGAUCGACAUGCUGUGCAUGUUAUUGUUUUUACGUUUGUCCAUUCAUCCAUUUUCUACCGCUUAUUCCCUUUCGGGGUCGCGGGGGGCGCUGGCGCCUAUCUCAGCUACAACGUGCUUUAUUUAUUACAGUUUUCACGGUGAAUUUGAAGGGAAAGGAAGCCUUCAAAUAAAUCAGUUCAAGAAAGCCAUUGUGUCUGUGCUAUUUGGAGGGAGUUACACUUUCUCACCUCACUAAUGCCUUGCAUCGUCUAUAUUAGAUAUGUAACAGCGGGCGGUUGUGGUUUUGACAAAAUGUUGGUUCGGGUGUAUGGUGGGUGGAUGACGACUUUAGUGAUGCGGUUGGGGACGAAAUAAUUGCCUAUUAUCCGCGCAUCUCUAGUCAGAGAGGUGUGGCCACGGGUGUGGUGACCGCCAGUGUCUCCGGUGGGAGGAGGUAAGAGAGUCCGCAGCUGCAGGAGGACGCAAGCUCCGCUCAUGUCUACGGUAAGAGCCGAUUUAUUUGCACAAUUUUCUCACCGAAACCUGCCGGUUGACAUGUGACCAUGUUCGCUUGACCGCUCUGUUCCAUGGUAAAGCUUCACCUUCGGGAAUGUAAACAAGGAAACACCGGCUGUGUUUGUGUUGCUAAAGGCAGCUGCAAUACACCGCUUCCCACCUACAUCUUCUCUUCUUUGACUUCUCCAUUAUUAAUUGAACAAAUUGCAAAAGAUUCAGCAACACAGAUGUCCAAAAUACUGCGUAAUUAUGCGAUUAAAGCAGACUACUUAUAGCUUGGAUCGGGCUGGAAGAACAUGUCCGCUACCACUGGUGACGUCAUGCGCACGCGUCAUCAUACGCGUCAUCAUUACGCGACAUUUUCAACAGGAUACUUUGCAGGAAAUUUAAAAAUGCAAUUUAGUAAACCAACCCGGCCGUAUUGGCAUGUGUUGCAAUGUUAAUAUUUCAUCAUUGAUGUAUAAACUAUCAGACUGCGCGGUCGGUAGUAGUGGGUUUCAGUAGGCCUUUAAGGGCAUGUCCAUGCAAAAGACCCUCGAAGAAUACAAAAUGAAAAUUAAUAUUACGUAUUUAUUUACAAAUCUAAUGACAAUUGUGCUUUACUUUGAGAAAGCAAAAAAAAAAAGAAAAAAAAGACAUUUUUAGUAGCUGGCUGUUUGAAAUGAACGUGUCAGGUGAGGAAUCAUUAAGCGAGUCACCAUAAGCAGCCACUCUCUUCUCGGUGCGGGUCAGCAGGUAUCUGAAGAGCCGCUGCGUGUAUUCCGACUCGGCCGUGGGCUGACACAAACUGUGCACAAAGAUGGCGGCGCCGCUGUAGGCCUCCAGCACAGGGCUGAGCAGCCGCUGCAGGAACACAAAGAAGUCCUGGUGCUCCUCCGAGAGGCUCACCUGUAAACAAGGAAAGGUAAAAAAAAAGACGAGAGCAGGUGAGGAUACGGAUGUUAAAAAGAGUAUGAACCUUUAGGUAGCGAUCACGCUGCUCCUCUCCAAAGUCGCUGUCUUCGUCCUCCUCGUCGCUCCGCCAGGAGAGCGGCUCUGGGAACUUUUUGGGCCAAGGUUCGUCCGUGGGACUGGGGCUCAGUUCCUCUUGGUCCUCCUGCAACACGCACACAUUAAUAUUGACACCUCAGCAAGCAUUUCAUGUGAUUUCUUCUCAAUGGUAUACAAAACCCAAAACCAGUGAAGUUGGCACCUUGUGUAAUUUGUAAAUAAAAACAGGAUACAAUGAUUUGCAAAUCCUUUUUAACUUAUAUUCAACUGAAUAGACUGCAAAGACAAGAUAUUUAUUGUUCAAACUGAAAAAGUAAUUUUUUUAUGGCAAAUGAUCAUUAACUCAGAAUUUAAUGGCAGCAACACAUUGCAAAAAAGUUGGCACAGGGGCAUUUUUACCACUGUGUUACAUGGCCUUUCCUUUUAACAACACUCAGUAAAGGUUUGGGAACCAGGGAGACCAAUUUUUGAAGCUUCUCAGGUGAAAUUAUUUGCCAUUCUUGGUUGAUGUACAGCUUAUGUUGUUCAACAGUCCGUUGUGGUAUUUUAGGCUUCCUAUUGCGCCACACAUUUUCAACGAAGACAGGUUCGGACUAUGGGCAGGCCAGUCUAGUACCCGCAGUCUUUUACUUUGAAGCCACGCAUAUAGUCUUGCUGAAAUAAGCAAGAUGUUGCUUGGAUGACAACAUAUGUCGCUCCAAAACCUGAAUGUACCUUUCAGCAUUAAUGGUGCCUUCACAGAUGUGUAAGUUACCCAUAUCUCUGGCAAUAAUACACCCCCAUACCAUCACAGAUGCUUGCUUUGAAAUUUGCGCCUAGUUCAAUCCGGAUGGUUCUUUUCCUUUGUUCCAGAGGACGCAACGUCCAGUUUCUAAAAUCAAUUUGAAAAGUUGGAGUCAUCAGAGCACCAAACACUUUUCCACUUUGGAUCAGUCCAUCUUAGAUGAGCUCAAGCCCAGCAAAGCCGGCGGCGUUUUUGGGUGUUGUUGAUAAAUAGGUUUUGCUUUGCAGAGGAGAGACAACAUUUAGUUACUGACAGUGGUUUUCUGAAGUGUUCUUGAGCCCAUGUGGUGAUAUCCUUUACACAGUGAUGUCGCUCUGAGGCAUCGAAGGUUCAUAAUAUCAUCGCCUACAUGCAUUGACUUCUCCAGACAGAUUCUCUGAACUUUUUGAUAUUAUGGACCGUAGAUGGUGAAAUCCCUAUAUUUCUUGCAAUAGCUCGUUGAGAAAUGUUUUUAAACUGUUCAACAAUUUGCUCGCGCAUUUGUUCACAAAGUGGCGACCCUCGCCCCAUUCUUUUUUGUGAAUGACUGAGCAUUUCAUGGAAGCUACUUUUAUACCCAAUCAUGGCACCCACCUGUUCCCAAUCAGCCUGUUCACAUGUGGGAUUUUCCAAAUAAGUGUUUGAUGAACAUUCCUCAACUUUUUUUCUUUUUUUCCACUUGCGCCAACAUUUUUGAAACAUGUUGCAGGCAUGAAAUUCCCAAUGAGGUAAUAUUUGCAAAAUAUAAAGUUUUCCAGUUCGAACGUUAAGUACCUUGUCUUUGCGGUCUAUUCUAUAGAAUAUAGGUUGAAAAGGAUUUGCAAAUCAUUGUAUUCUGUUUUUAUUUACCAUUUACACAAUGUGCCAACUUCACUGGUUUUAGGUUUUGUACUUUAGAGUAGUCAGUGUACAACUUUAAUAUAAUUUAAUAUCCACCGAAAACCACUCAACACAAUUUCUGCAUUGAAACGGACCUCCGCCACGUAGAGGACUCCAUAUUGGAUGAGGCGGGUCACUGCGUCGUGGAAAACCUGGUAAACAGUCUGACAGGGCUGAGGGACACAGAGAAUGCAAAUUAGUUGAACUCCGCUAUUCAAUGGCCAAGUUAUGAAACAUAAAAACACAUAGUAAGUAGAAUAAAAAGAAUAAAUUCUGAAGUAAUGAUACACAUUGUAUAUUAAAGAUGCAAACAUCAAUCCAAUGUAAGUCGACAUAUGCUAAGCUAUGUUUCCCUCUUACACACAUGGAAGAGGGCUGUGUACCAUGGCUAUGAGUUGUUGUUUUUUUGUUUUUUUUCCCCCUUAGCCUCAGUCUGCACCCCCUCUCCAGUGCCCAGGCUAAGACCGAUUUUUUUUAAAUUUAAUUUUAAUCUUCUAUUUUUUUCUCCCAUUCCCCCCCUUGUUUACCUGUAUCUCAUCUUUUUUGUAAGGGGCGCUGGAAGCCGGCAGACCCGUCAGCGAUCCUGUUCUGUCUCCCUGUAAUGUUUGUCUAAACUUGAAUGGGAUUGUGCUGAAAAUUUUAAUUUUCCUGACGGAAUAAAUAAAAUACUAUCUAAUCUAAUCUAAUCUAAUCUAAUAUUUUACAUCUGCACGGUGACAAAGCAAAUUGGUGCUAUUGUUUAUUUUAUAAUAUAUUUUAUUUUAUAAUAUAUUUUAUUUAUUCUAAGGGAACUUUGUCCUUUUUUGCUGUAUUUUGGCCGUGAUAUAGGUAUUGUUAUUAAAUAACACAUGCAUUUUUAUAAGUAGUUUUUUUUUUUUCUUCUCCAAGUUAAAUUUAAAAAUUUCAACGUCCAAUUCUUUCAGAGGUGUACAAAACACGAGCAGUUAUUCGAUAUUACCCCAAAUCCAAACAGUGCUACCGGUUCAUGAUUGUUAAUUGGUUCCGGACAUGACUGCAAUAGAUGAAUUUCCACAAAGUAGGAAUCAUCAAUUCUGAAUCUAAUAUUUUAUUAGGUAGAGUAUUAAAACAAAAAAAGUUUAUUACCUUCUACAUAUAUUUUUCAACAUUAGGAGAGCCCUCCAAACAUGAAAUAACACCCUUGAGGGACCUACAGUAUUUUAAUCCAAUAUAGCACCAUAAUGCUGCUUGAGGCUCAGUUAAUCGGUAGCCACGAUACUGAACAGCGUGAUGUGGUUUGGUCUCAUCUAAUAACCACAACUUCUCUAGUAUUGUUAUUUUUAGUUUAUUCAGCCAUUUUUAUGCUUGAACAUUUUGUAGAAUAUGUUUAAAACAUUUUUUUAAUUUAUAUAUAUCUGGUAAUUAUGUAUGUAUUGCAUUGUUUACCAAAAAUUAAAUUAUGACAGUGAGUGAUAGUGCAAUAAAUUACAAACUCUUCUUCUUCCUGCUGCUUUCUGGACACACAAAAUGUUAAUCUUUUAAAUUUCAUUAAUGUUUUUUUUACAAAUUAAAAUAUAGUUUUGGAAAUACUUAUUUUCUUAUUCUAUUUUUGAUUUUUUGUGCCCCAAAUAAAUAAUAAAAUACAGAAACACAGUUUUUAUUUUAACCCUUUGAAGGUCUUUUGUUUAAAUUAAGUCACGGUAUUUGUGUACAUUUACAAAACAUGUUACCUGUGAUGCCAUCUGAUUAAAAAACCUUCAAAAAGGAUUAAAAAAAAGAACAAAUAACAACAUUUUUGAUAUUUUUGUCUCGGACAGGAGUUUGAUCAAUUUGAGAAAAAAAGUAAAAGAAAAACCAAAAAAAAUUAUGCCGUUUUGUCCUGUUUGGCUAUGAUAAAUUUAAAAUCGAAUGUACCCAAAAGUGGUUAACAAAGAAUUAUUUUUAUUUUUACAAUAUCAAAAAAUAGCCUACACUAUGUACCCCUGGUCCAGCUCAUGUUACAUUUGAGUAUAAAUAAUAUUUCUGCAUUGAAUGGCACACAAUUUUGAUGUUUUACAUUGUUUUAAGUCAUAAAAAGCCAAUGAAUCAAAAUAACACAUACCCGGGUAAAAAUCAACAUUAAACAGUUACAUUCAAUAUGCUUUGUGUUUUUGUUAUGCUAUCAUUGUGCUGAGGACGGGAUGGGAAGAAGACAAAAAGCGCCAAUUCUCCUCUUCUUGUGAUAAUGAGCAACAUUCUACGAUGUCACACUACUAUCAUAUUUCUGCUAUAUGAUGUGCUCAUUUUGUGCAAGUCCUGAGUUAUCCAGACAGGAACUUACGGAGGCCACGGUCACCUCAUUGACCAGGAAGUGUGACAGGCCGGCGGCUUUGCGGAUGAGCUUCUCCUGACUGAGAGGGAAGCCGGCGGCGCCGCUGGCCGGCUUACCCGACUCUGAUUCCACCACCUGCUCUCGCUGCAGUGACAGGAUGCUGCAGGCUGCACGCACAUAAACACAAGUCCGCAUCAGCGAUGACAUGGGGGGCGGAACCCCUGAGGAGUCAAGAGGAGACGACGUACCGAUGAUGGCGUCGGGAAUGAAGACGUGGAACAGGCCGUUGCUGUAGAAGUUGAGCUCGAAGAGCGCUGGCACCGUCGGGCUGGGCGCGAUGGUGAACUCGCCAUUGCGGUUGGCGCUGGUGGUGACGGAAAUGCAGUUCUCCAGGAGGUGCAGGGCCCGCAUCACCACGUCCUCGGAAUUGCCCGAGAAGCCUAGAUCGAAGUCCCGCGACAGGAUCUCCUCCUUCAUGUUGAAGAAGUCCUCCACCAGCUUGGACAGCGCCACACCCUGCGGCGGAGACAAGCUCACUGUUACAUGAACAACGCUGUACAUUGUAACACAAACCACACAUGCGACGGACGUACAACUUCCUACAGUCGUCGGUUGCGUGGGCUACAAACGGUGGUCUUGAAUUAAAACAUUGGCAUGAGUGGGUGUGGCUGUGGGCAACCUCCUGAUGCGCUUUUAAAUUAAUGCUGGGGCACUUGAAUCUUGUGCCACCAGGCAGAAUUCCAACUGUAAAUCCAGCCCCUUGUGAACACGUAUAUGUUGUUGACAGUCUGAAGUUGCAUUGAAAGAUCCCCUAAUUCGUAUUUUGUUGCAGAAAUUAAAUGUCGUCCUCACAGGUA